rnacentral:rRNA from 1 species
GAUGAACGCUGGCGGCGUGCUUAACACAUGCAAGUCGAACGAGAAAUGGAGACGGAAACCUUCGGGCGGAAGGCUUCAUUUCGAGUGGCGGACGGGUGAGUAACGCGUGGGUAACCUGCCUCAUACAGGGGGAUAACAGUUGGAAACGACUGUUAAUACCGCAUAAGACCACAGCACCGCAUGGUGCGGGGGUAAAAACUCCGGUGGUAUGAGAUGGACCCGCGUUCGAUUAGCCAGUUGGCGGGGUAACGGCCCACCAAAGCGACGAUCGAUAGCCGAUCUGAGAGGAUGACCGGCCACAUUGGGACUGAGACACGGCCCAAACUCCUACGGGAGGCAGCAGUGGGGAAUAUUGCACAAUGGGGGAAACCCUGAUGCAGCGACGCCGCGUGAGUGAAGAAGUACUUCGGUAUGUAAAGCUCUAUCAGCAGGGAAGAAAAUGACGGUACCUGAGUAAGAAGCCCCGGUUAACUACGUG